rnacentral:rRNA from 1 species
CAAGGAGUGCAUCGGUAACAGAGAGCUUUGAUCCGGCCUAGAUUGAACGCUGGCGGGAUGCUUUACAUGCAAGUCGAACGGCAGACGACGACUUCGGUCUGGUGGCGAGGGUGCGAACGGGUGAGAAGUACUGGAACGUGCCUAGUAGCGGGGGAUAAUUCACGCGAAAGGUAGCGACACCGCAUAACGCCCUUCGGGGGUGUGGGGGACCUGGGCCUCGCACUAUUAGAGCGGCCGACAUCGUGGAUUAGCUAGUUGUGGGGUAAUGCUCACCAAGGGCGAUCCUAGCUGGUUUGAGAGGACGGAUCAGCCACACUGGGACUGAGACACGGCCCAGACUCCUACGGCAGCAGUGGGACUUUGAGAGAAUGGGGAACUUGAUCCAGCCAUCUCCGGCGUGCAAGUGAUGAAGGCCUGGUUGUAAAGCACUUUUGGCAGGAAAGAAACAGGCACGGAUAACACCCCGUGCAACUGACGGUACCCGCAGAAUAAGCACCACAAUCUACGUGCCAGCAGCCGCGGUAAUGUAGGGUGCAAGCGUUAAUCGGAAUUACUAAGUGCAAAAGCGUGCAAAGGUUCUGGAAAGAAAGAUGUGAAAUCCCAGAGCUUAACUUUGAAACUGCAUUUUUAACUACUGAGCUAGAGUGUGUCAGAGGGAGGAAUUCCGCGUAUAAAGGAAAUGCGUAGAUAUGCGGAGGAACACCGAUGCAUGUAUGCAGCCUCCUGGAUAACACUGACGCUCGGCGCACGAAAGCGUAAGCGCAAACAGGAUUAGAUACCCUGGUAGUCCACGCCUCAAACAUGUCAAUCUUCACGUUGGGCCGGCCUUGGUAUGGCAGCUAACGGUGCGAAUGAUCUGCCUGGGAGUACGGUCGCAAGAUUAAAACCCUGCUGAAUUGACGGGGGGACCCGCACAAGCGGUGAUGAUGAUUAAUCAUGGAAUUUCUCCGCGAAAAACUCCACCUACUCCUGUGGAUGGUGUCUUGGAAUCCCGAAGAGAUAUCGGAGUGUUUCUGCAAGAGGAACCGGAACACAGGUGUCAUGUUUGUCGUCAGCUCGUGUCGUGAGAUGUUGGGUUAAGUCCCGCAACGAGCGCAAACUUUGUCAUUAGUUGCUACGAAAGGGCACUCUAAUGACCGCUGUGACAAACCGGAGGAAGGUGGGAAGGACAAGUCCCUUUGCAGCCCAUAGCCUUCACGCCGGGCGGCGAAUGGUCUCGACAGGUCGCCAACCCGCGAGGGGGAGCCAAUCCCGCAGUCCCGAUCGUAGUCCGAUCGCAGUCUGCAACUCGACUGCGUGAAGUCGGAAUCGCUAGUGCAAUCGCGGAUCAGCAUGUCGCGGUGAAUACGUUCCCGGUCUUGUACACACCGCCCGUCACACCAUGGGAGUGGGUUUUACCAGAAGUAGUUAGCCUAACCGUAAGGAGGGCGAUUACCACGGUAGGAUUCAUGACUGGGGUGGAAGUCGUAACAAGGUAA